GCAGGUGAUGCAAAUGAUUAAUGUGCUUGGCUGCUAACCAAAAGGUUGGAGGUUCAAGUCCACCCAGAGGCA
rnacentral:tRNA from 1 species